AUCAAACUCAACAAAGAAAAUGGGUACUUACCUCAUUACUCCCAAAACUGAUAAGCUCUUUGAAGAUGGUGUGAAUGAUCGACUAAGAUGUAGGUUAUCAUCAAUGCAAGGGUGGCGCGCAUCCAUUGAAGAUGCUCAUGCCGCUUAUUCUGAUCUGGAUGCGUACACUUCCUUCUUUGCUGUUUAUGAUGGUCGUGGAGGUAAGAAUUGGGAGGAUAGGUUGUCAUUAUCUUUGUAGGAUUACCAAUUUAGUACCACACGUUGAGCUCAUUAUUUACUUAUUUUUUGAAACUUGUUCCAUUCUUCAACACAACCAUGGAUCUUUAAGUUAAUGAAAUUGCAAAUUCAACACAACCUGGUCAGGCAAUCUUUUGAAUUUCAGGUUUGUUCUUGUGAGAAGGUUACAUUGUCAGAGUGGCCUUUUACUUCUUCAUUUUGAUGAUUUUAUCUAUCAUUUUUGCAGGUUGAUGCCUUUGCUAAGAAGCUUGGCUAUACCUCCUCACUUCAGGCUGCUCUUGUCAAACUACAGGUGCUUCCUCGAAAUCAACUAGAAAAUUACAUAUACGUAUGCUUGCUUUUCCUUUGUUGGAGCAAGGCCAAAUGGAAGAGGCUGAAAAAGCUGCAAGAAAGGCAUUAGAGAUUAACAAGGAUGAUUGCUGGACCCAGCAUAAUGUGAGUUAUAAUAAUUAUUUUUGUUUUCCAUUCAUUCCACCUAAUUAUUCUAAAUCUUUAAAUAAUUAUACUCAAUUUAGUGUUCCACUAUUCUGAAAUUGUUACGUCAAAUGAGAUAAAGGCUAAAGAGGCUUAUCACAUCUUUUCAUAGCACUUGGUACCAAUUUCAGGGCAUGGACCUGAUUAAAAAUACAUGUUUUAGGUCUUGGCUGGUUCUCUAAUAUUACGAUAUUUUGUAGUUCUGCCAUGUUCUUCAGUAUGAAUGCUGUUUUAAAGAAGUUGUGUGGUUUGAAUGGUUGAUACCUCUUUAUUUAUUGCUUAGCUUUGUUUAAUAAGAUUUCUGUUAAUUUAAUUACAUAUGUAGCAUAGCUGUAAAGAGGGAGUCCUCUAUUUUUGGUGAAAAAACUAUUCUUAAUGGUAUGUAUGGGUAUAUAUGCAACCAUUAUAUAUGUGUGCUUUUUGUAUAUUUGCAUAUAUAGCAUUAUGUAAU